CCGGACCUGACUGCUAUCGGAUUGGUACUAAGCCAUGCGAGUCAUUGUAGCAAUACAAGGCGGACGGCUCAGUAACACGUAGUCAACCUAACCUAUGGACGUGGAUAACCUCGGGAAACUGAGAAUAAACCGCGAUAGAUCAUUAUGCCUGGAAUGGCUUAUGGUUCAAACAAUUUAUUGCCGUAGGAUGGGACUGCGGCCUAUCAGCUUGUUGGUGAGGUAAUGGCCCACCAAGGCUAUAACAGGUACGGGCUCUGAGAGGAGAAGCCCGGAGAUGGGUACUGAGACACGGACCCAGGCCCUAUGGGGCGCAGCAGGCGAGAAACCUUAGCAAUGUGCGAAAGCACGACUAGGUUAAUCCGAGUGAUUCCUGUUGAAGGAAUCUUUUGUCAGUCGUAAAACCACAGACGAAUAAGGGGUGGGCAAGUCUGGUGUCAGCCGCCGCGGUAAUACCAGCACCUCGAGUGGUCAGGAGGUUUAUUGGGCCUAAAGCAUCCGUAGCCGGCUUUGCAAGUCUCCGGUUAAAUCCAGCUGCUCAACAGAUGGGCUGCCGGAGAUACUACACAGCUAGGGAGCGGGAGAGGCAGACGGUAUUCUGUGGGUAGGGGUAAAAUCCAUUGAUCCAUAGAGGACCACCAGUGGCGAAGGCGGUCUGCCAGAACGCGUUCGACGGUGAGGGAUGAAAGCUGGGGGAGCAAACCGGAUUAGAUACCCGGGUAGUCCCAGCUGUAAACGAUGCAAACUCGGUGAUGCAUUGGCUUAUGGCCAAUGCAGUGCCGCAGGAAGCCGUCAAGUUUGCCGCCUGGGAAGUACGGACGCA
rnacentral:rRNA from 1 species